rnacentral:lncRNA from 1 species
GUUCGUUUCUAUGUUUGUUGCAUUUGAGUGUUGUGUUUCUGUUGUGUCGUUGUUCUCCUCUUAUAUUUGAUGUGUUUCCCUCAGUUUUAGUUUGUAACCCGGAUUUGUUUGUUUUUUUCCUCAGCCGAUUUAUGAAUUUCGAACAGAGGUAUACUACUGCUGCCUUUAUUUUUUUGCUUCUGGACGUCUUCUUUAUAUGGCAACUAGGUGUAUCGUAUGUUCAUGAGUUUUUUUUAUAUUGACUAACAUUCCACGCAUAAUUAAUUUUUCUCCUAAAGCAAAUAGUCAACACGUAUUAAGACGACGUUGACUGGGGAAUUUUGCAUGCUACUUAAAGAAUAAAGAUAAUAAAAUAAUAAAAACUUGAAACUUACAAAAAAAUCAAUAUUAGGAUUGAAGUCGG